GAUGAAGAACGAAGUGAAUUGCGUUAAGAAUCACGAAUUACAGAUAUUAUGAGUGAUAUGUUUUCGAUUGCAUAUCGCAUCGUUGGGCAUUUGCUCAUCGAUAUACCCAACUCAGGGUGUGUAUCCCAAUAAAUCGGUUACAAUGCACUCGUUGAUUGUGACUAAAGUUUGGACUAUAUAAUAAGUGUUGUCUUUUUAUUGUUGUGGAUUUUGGUGUUGAAUGAAUUUUUUUUCACUUGGUUCACUUCUAAAGCGGCAAACGCACUUGAAUGAAUUCACCUGAGUCGGAUAUGAUCACCCGCUGAACUUAAGCAUAUCAAUAAGCGGAGGA
rnacentral:misc_RNA from 1 species